rnacentral:lncRNA from 1 species
CAUCCAUCCAACCCUACUAACACGAAGACUCCUAUGAAAAACAAGUCAAGUGUUCCAGGAAGGAGAACAGAUCCUUCCCUUGCUACUGGCAAGAUGUAUGCAUAUUCCGGAUCCCAGGUCUGUUGUCCCCUCAUGCCAUGUGGAAGUUUCCCAAGACUAUAGAGAAAUGUUUAGAUGUGCAGAUGCCACACACUAAUUCUUAGAGUUUCUACGGCCAUUAUGACUAAAGGGGUAACCGUUGUUACACCGUGAGCAGACACAGUACCUUCAAGACAACUUCUCCAUCCUUUUGGUUUUAUAAUAUGUGCAUCCUAAGGCACCCUUUUCAAAGUUACUUAGGUGUCAACCUCAGUGUACAAUUCUACAAUGAGUAGAACC